GGCCAACCCAGGGGAGCUCAGGUGCAUGGAACGAACCUGUGUCUGUAAGGGGUGGGGCCAGGAUCCAGCCCUUCCCAGACCUCAUUUAAGGGCUGGCAGUAGAGAUGAGGGUGUCUUGCUGGAGAUCCCUGCUUACCCAAGGCCUUCCAUAGUGCCAUUUACUACAGCCUGGAUGGCAGAGAGCAUGCUAUGGGAAGCCAUGCAUGUGGGUGAAGUGGCUUCCACCUUGGAGGAGCCCCUGAAAGCAAUGUCAGGAAAGAAAGCAGCACAGACAGCACUGGACUGUUCUAUGUAUGAGCGCAAGGGAGAGAGAUCAUCUAGGAAAUGGCCUUCCAAAGGGAAAAUGGCACCAGAAGGAGCAAGGAGUGGGACGUGCCUGGAAGUCAGCCUUCUGCAGAUGCCAAGCUCCUGGGUGAGCGUGGCAGGAGAAAGUAGUGCAAUGACCAAAACUGCUUUGUGAGCUUGAGUCAUGUUGGAGAAGGGGAAUUCCUGGGUCGCUGCCAUGAGGUCUGCUUCUGCCUCUUCAGUUGACUACAUGGGCAGAAAAAGGUCCUUGGGUGUCUUCCUGAGAACCUGCUCCUGCCACCUUGGCUGUGUCCAUGGGUCCCAGCUCCUCUGCCAGGCAACAACCAUCAGAGUUGGCUUUGCAGCCCCCACCUUGCAGUAGUGGUGUCUCUCAGAAGGGUUUACCCAGGCCUUUAGUGCCUUAGUGUAGGAGCUCUACUGCUAUCUCACUUCCAUCAGUGUGGCAGAAACAGACCUGCCAGUAAGAACUAGAAGUCAUUUAAUUAUAGGCUCAUAGAAUCCCCGAAUCAUAGGGUGACUUGUGGUAGAAGGGACCUUAAACAUCAUCUAGUUCCAAUGCCUGUGCUGUGGUCUGGGUUGCCACCCAGAAGGUCAGACUGCCCAAGUCCUUUCCAGAAGUGCUUUCACUCCUAGACUUAUUUUGAUGUUGUUUGCUCACCUGUCCUCAAGGAAACGGCUUGUCUUUUAGAAGGAAGGACACAGGCAUGCCAAACUCCUCCUAAGCAAGGGGCUUGACCAACUGGGGGCUUAAACAGAAAAAUGGCACCCUCCUGUGGCAACAUUAAAAAAAAAAAAAUCUUAAUAAAUGCGGUGUCUAAUUCAGUCAGUACAUGUGACCCACAUGCACAUCACCAUGUGUUUUGUAAGGGAUGAUGGUGCCCCUCUGCUUAGGCCAAAACUUGCCCUUCAAGCUGGGCUAGUGGAGUGGGGCCUAGCUGUGGGCGAAGACUCUCCAAGGUCAGGUGGAGAAGCCUGCGGCAAGUUGUGAGGCAGCAGUUUGGCUGUGUGGAGCCACCCUGCAUCCCGAAGUCCACGUCCAGCCAGCUUCAAGAGCCUACGUCCUUUUUUUUGGACUUGGCUCUUUGUCAAAACCAUAGGGUACAGUGCCUGCAGGGACUUCAAAGGAAAGGCACCAAAUGUGAUUUGGCCCAGGCCAUUUAUUGCUAGCAUCUUUGUUAGAUACUGCUGCCAAGGGUUAAAAUGUUUACAUGCCCCCUGAUUUUAAAUGGACUGGGUUGCAUGUCAGAUGCCAACGGGAGAGACAGCUGGAGUAUCUAAACCAAGAGCUUUGAUCUUAGUAUCUGUAAAAAAGAGGUCAUUUGGUCUCCCAGGAAGCAGAGACAUUUAGAAGGUCCCUGUACAACUCAUGCAAGUAUUUUAUUAACGACAAUUUUUAUUCAAAUGUAGAUCUCGGAGCUCACAGGGAAAACCACCCUCACCCACCCUGCAGGAGGAGCACAAUGGCACAAUGGCACCCUCUGUUGCCCUGCGCGCUGCUCCCACGUGGAUGUAUGAACUCCUGAAAGUAUCCAUUCCCCAUCUCCAAAUCUCAUCUCUUCCCGCCGAGCUUCCUUGUUUGUUUGGAGUUAUCCUGUUAUUUCCAUUUGUAAUAAAACCCGUCUUGUUCUUUUUGUGCUGAGUGGAGAAACAUCGAGAGGAUUGUCACGCUCAUUUCAUGAACAGUUGGCCUCCUGUCCCCAUUUUGUCCUCCCUAAGUGGCAGCUCCUUGCAACAGUUGUAUUAACAACUGAGCUCAGCCCUGCAAAGUGGUGGGCAUUUCCAGCGUUAACUGGAAAGCAAUUAGUCUUGAUGAGAUUGGGCUGUCCAACUCUCAGACAAUUAAUUAAAUUACAGCUUGUCUUUCAUUUGGUUAAACAAAAACUUGAUUCAUUAAUUAAAAUACACUGUGAAUCUGAUUUUUUGCUCUGAUCCUCUGUGUGUUCGUAAGCAAACAACAAGUUCCUUUUAGGAACCAAAACAAAAUUCCUUCUGGAGCAUGACAAGUUUUCACUCCUAAUCACCUUGUAUCCAUGUGAACACACUUUAAUUGCUCAUUAACACAAAGUUAGCGGGCUGACACACAACUAGCUGCUUCUUUUGGACUUCUCUAACAGUAACUUUUUUGUGUGUGUCUCGUAAGGAGACCAGACGUUUCUCAGAAUCAAUCAACUUUUUCUGUGUUUUACUUCCAUGCCAUGCUGUAAAGGAUUGUACAGUUGCCUUGCUGUAAUGUUAUUAUUCAGGACUGAUUUUACUGUGAUGGCAUAAGAGGAAUUAGACAUGUCCAUUCUAUUGUUGUUGAUAUGACUGUGCCUAUUUUCCCCAUAUGCAGUCUGAAACAAUUAUCAGAAGCAGUACAUAGAACUCAUCACUUAGAAAUGAUUACUUAGAAGUCAUUAGAUGUUGUUAAUGUGAACAGAUUUUUGUAAAAGCCACGUUUUGUGCAGGACUGGUUAUUUUUAGAUAAAAAUAUUUAAACUGAAGAAGAGAUUUCAAUUUUUCAAAUUGUGAUGUACAGGAACUCAGUGAGAAUUAAAAAUCUGACAUAAGAUCCAGUAUAAAAAAAGUAUUUCAGUGCAUCUAUUUGACAAGCACAAAUGGUCUGUAAGUAUGUUGAAUUAUAACAAAAAAUGAGUUGGAAAUAUUUGGGAUACUCUGUCUGUUCAGUUUUAAGCAGCCUUACCUACUGUGCCAAUGACUUACAGUCAGGUUUGGAUUCUGUGUGCUCAUCAUCAGCUUUCAGGAUCCAUGCUACAUUUGCCUCCUUUGAUUCUGCAAAGAUUUUGUCAAGAAAUUGAACUGAAUUUUAUCCCAGGCCUCACAAAUACAACCAUGUUUGACAGUUGUGGGAAAGAAGGGGGUUCGAGCUGCAUCUAUUGUUUGUUCAGAAAUAUCUAAUUUCAUAAGUCAAAUUACUCGUAAUGAUUCCAUACUAAUUUGUUAUUUGAAUCCUUUGCAGGCCUACUUUCUCCCAGAUGAUGGGAGACAAGAGGAAUUGCCUAAGCUUUUGAUACUGUGUAGAUCUCUGCUGAAACACAUUCUGAUUGCUACUGAUCUAGACAUAUUUUUUUUCUUAUAAGCUUAAGCCCGCAAGCUUCAGAAUUUAGCAUAAAAGACCAGCUGUCACCUGAUUUUGUUGUUCUUUUUUUUAGAGAAACAAUUCAAUUUUAGGGGAAAAAAAGGCAACUCAAUGUUAAAAUGCCAAAGAAAAGCUUCUCUGAAAUGUAAACAAAACCAAAAUGACCAUACCUUAAAACAGCACAUUUCAACAGGAGUUGAAGUGUUCCUCCCUUCUGUUUUCUCAAACCGAAGUGCUGACAAAAUCAGUAUGUUUUCUGAAGUGUUUCAUUUUGAUCAGAUUUGCAUGUUUUGGUGAAAUAUGGAUCCAGUGAAGCGAUCCUGGCUGGCUGAAUGUGUUGUUUCUUUUGGUUUAUGGCAUCUGCGAGCCUAUCAAAACUGUCCCAGUCUUCCAUGAAUGGAGAAAUGAUUCCAGUUAAGUCAAAAAGAAAGAAAGAGAGAAAGAAAGAAAGAGAGAAAGAAAGAAAGAAAGAGAGAAAGAAAGAAAGAAAGAAAGAAAGAAAGAAAGAAAGAAAGAAAGAAAGAAAGAAAGAAAGAAAGAAAGAAAGAAAGAAAGAAAGAAAGAAAGAAAGAAAGAAAGAAAGAGAAAAAGGAAAAGGAAAAGAAAAAGAAAAAGAAAAAGAAAAAGAAAAAGAAAAAGAAAAAGAAAAAGAAAAAGAAAAAGAAAAAGAAAAGAAAAAGAAAAAGAAAAGAAAGAAAAAGAAAAACCAACCCUGAAGUGUUGUCACUCUUAUCCAGAAAACCAGGCCCAAGUGAACAUUCAGAAAAAGGAUAGAAAUAGAUGGAAGAGAUGUCAUUCCUUGUGAAGAAGGGGGGAAGUUUAGGUUAGAUGUUAGGAAGAAAUUCUUUUCUCAGAGGUUGGUGAGGCACUGGUACAGGCUGCCUGGUGAGUUGUAGAUGCCCCAUCCCUGGAAGUGCUGGAGGCCAGGUUGGAUGGGGCCAUGUGCAGCCUGAUCUGGUGUGGAGCAACCCAGCCCACAGCAAACGGCUAGGAGAGGAUGAACUUCAAGGUCCCUGCCAACCUAAGACAUUAUGUCAUUCUAUGAUUCUUUGAUUCUGUGCAGUCACCUGUCUUUGCAUGAUGGAGAAUACCAAUCCUCAGCCAAAGACAUCCUCAUUCCUUUUAUAUUUCCCUCACAUUUCCCUGUACACAUUUGCUACUGACUUGAUGUGGCAAAAAUGCCCAUUUGCACAAGCUGUGAGUCUUCUAGGGACUCCAUUGCCUGGCUUAUCACUUUAACAUCUGAUCUCAACUCUACUUUAAAAUUCAGAGCUGAAACAAAGGAUGCCAAACUAAACCAUGCACGUGUCCAUCUCCAGCUGAGAAGGGGACACGAAGAAAAGAAAUCUGUUGUCACCUCUGGAGAUGUGGUCCAUUUCCAAGCAAAAUCUGGGUACAAUGCAGCAGAAAGUCACCACGUGCCACGGAGUUGUUUCAGCCCUUAAAAAAAAAACAGAUUUGUUGAGGGUGACUCCUGUUUCCCCACUAGUACAUAAACAUUGUGUUUAGCUACACCAAUUCCCCAGGAGCGAUGAGCGUGCUGGCAGGUCAGGGGACCUGCUGUUGGGUUAUAUCAUUGUUAUGAGAGUCACACUGCUAAGAAGCUUUGAGUUGUACCCCAUGCUGAGAAUAAUCCAAAUAAUCUGCAACUCAAAGCAUCCCUCAUCAGGGAUCACUGUGAACACAGGCAAUUUCAGCUGACCCGAUGAGCUAAACAUAAACAUGUCAAGAUCUCAAUAGUACCAGAACAUUUGUUUUAAAUAUCCUGUGUGAAAUUGGUGCCAAUGGACAACAUCAAUCGUUUGCCAGAUGUUCUUUUCUCUAAUUUUACUGCAGAGCACAUACAAGUAUGUGCUGGAAUUAACAUGAUGACUGGGGAGAACACAGUAGCCAACCCUUGGUUUAUUGCAGCAGUGCAAAAGACAGUAAUUUCCAGGAAGAGAGAUUACUCCUGGUUCAAAAGACUGUGAGAUAUGCAUGCAGCCUCUCAAGGGAUAUAUAUAUCUCAUGCAAACAAAUAACAUGAUCUAUGAGCCCUUUAAGGUUAAGUUUUGACAGUGGUAGAACAGGUGAGAGCUUGGACUGUAUAGCUCUCUUCUCAUGAGCUGGAUGUUGUUAUCCAGAGAAGAAAGCAAAGUGCACAUCACUAGUAUUGAGGCUAACCACAACCACAAGCUCAGAGCAAUCUACAAUCUACAGCAGAAACCCAGAGUGGUAAAACUGCAACUGGAAUGAGGCAUAGAGAUGAGUCAAGUACGAGGGUUGCUCCAAAAGUAAUGCCUCCUGUUUUAUUCCGUUGGCCCAUUAUGUCAGUAGCAGAUGAUGGCAGUAGGGACUGAACCUUCCCACCAAUAUUCUGUUACAUUUUGUUGCUGUGUGACAGAUGGCAGCAGAGGGGCAGUCUGACAAAAUGGUGUCUGACAUGGAAGUGUGUAUGAAACAAAGGUGAAAGAUAAGGAAAGCUGGGACCACAGAAAUUUAUCUGGUAAUUGCUGAGAUCUGUGUCCACGGCAAAUGUAUUCUGCACAGAAAGAGAGCGGAUGCACUGUUCCACAUCUACCAAAGUAUCAAAUGACGUUUUUCAGGGCAUUGCUGCUGUAACAUAUUGUGUAAAGAAACUAGAUCAGAAAUACUGAAACACAUAUAAAAAAAGAUAACGUGUCUUUCCAUCCACAUUGUCAAUAGAUUCAGAGCAGGAACAGUGCCAGAUUAAAGCAAAGCAAAUAUUUGCAGUAUAAUAUUUUAUUCAUCAGAAAUUCUUCAAGUUUUUGAUGGAUAUUUUUGGCUGAUACAGAAAUUCUUUAACUACAAAGUUUUAUUUGAGUGUUUUCAGAAACGCUGCUGAAUAUGAGUCUCUUAAGACUGAAACCUUCUUAAAAAAAAAACAACAAAAGCAAACAAACAAAAAAACCCACAUAGAUAGAAACAGAGCAUUCAUUUUUCUAUACAUUUCCAUAAGUCUUUGGAGGUUUUUAGUGUGCAGUGGAUAAACUGAUGGAUUUAAAUGACACAGAUAUCCUCAGCGCAAAAUCUCAGAUCCUGGAGCUUUUAUUUACCAAAGGAAGCCAAACUCAAAACAUAUUUUGUUUACCUUUGGCCAUAUUUUCUUCAAGAUAUUACUUCAAAUGCAAGAGGGCAUGCCAUCUUAGGAAUAAUGUCUCUCUUUAUACAUCUUUAACAGAUUUCCUUCCUUCCUUCCUUCCUUCCUUCCUUCCUUCCUUCCUUCCUUCCUUCCUUCCUUCCUUCCUUCCUUCCUUCCUUCCUUCCUUCCUUCCUUCCUUCCUUCCUUCCUUCCUUCCUUCCCUCCUUCCUUCCCUCCUUCCCUCCUUCCCUCCUUCCCUCCUUCCUUCCCUCCUUCCUUCCCUCCUUCCUUCCCUCCUUCCUACCUUUUCCUUUUUCCUUUUUCCUUUUUCCUUUUUCCUUUCUUUUUUUCCUAGGGUUUGCCCUCUUUCUUGCUCAAAGAGUAGGUGUUGAGCUGAUAAAUGGAAGAACUCUUCUGGAUACAGUCCAUCCCGGAAACCCUCAUACUAUUAAAAACUGUAAUUACAAUUUGGAAGGGAAUCCAAACUUUUCUAGGAAUGCUUAAGCCUUUCAGGACUGCUAAAUUCUUCAAACUGAACAGGGUCUGUGCAGUUUGCUUACUUGGGGAUAUGCAUGUUCACUUCACCAAAGGAAACACAAACUAGAAUUCAGUAGGGCUCAUUAGAAAAUCCCACACACUGAGCUAUCUUUAUAAACGCUUAAAGAAAUAAUUUGUAGGUACCCCAGAAGAUGGAAAGAGGAAUGCACUGAUUUUUCCAUAGAUGGUUAAGCAAAAAAUGCUUCUCUGCAAUUUUGAUUACUUUGACAUGAUGUAAAUUAAUACUAGCUUCUACAGAGUUGGUUUCUCUGGCAGGGACUGUCAAUAAAGUAACUAAGAUUAAGGGUCUUGCUAUGGAUUUUAGAAGCACUUUAAAACAACAAGCAUAAAUGCUUCACUAAUAUUUAAGAUGGGAUUCACUGAUGUGGCCAUCCUAUUUAAUACCCAUAACCUAUAACCAUCUAGUUAAAAAUAGACCCAUAGUAAGCUUGCUAGCUGCAGAGGAUCCUAUACAAUCCCUUAAAGAGCCCUAACUUGAAAGCAUAAUCAAAACAAGCUAGCUUCUGUUCAUUCAUGAUGUUAUUUCACACUGAAGCUGGUCAGCUAUCUAAAUAAUCCAUGUUCAGCCUUUCUUUUGGCCUUAAUGGAGUACAACACGAAAGUCAACGCUUGGUGCUGUAUCUUUCUAUGGCUCCUUUAAGGUCAUAGAACCAUAGCAUAGCUUAGGUUGGAAGGGACCUCAAAGAUUAUCCAGUUCCAACCCCCUGCCAUGGGCUGGCUGCCCCUCACCAGCUCAGGUUGCCCAUGGCUCCAUCCAGCCCAGCCUUGAGCACCUCCAGGUAUGGGGCACCCACAGCUCUCUGGGCAGCCUGUGCCACUCAUAUCUGUUUGCUCUUCUAAACUACAGCUUUUACUCUUGGUUGCCAGUCACAGAGGUGAAAACAAUGCAGUUUUCUGAAAAGUCCUAUGGAAAGUAGACCUAUAGCAGAGCAGCUACAGCUUGCUGCACAAAUGCAGUAUCUAUUAUUAUCUUUUAAAAUAUCCCAUUUAAAAUAAUUUAACUUAUUGCAUACAUUGAUAUAUAUUAAAAUACAGUCAAACAGCUGACCAGAUCGACACCUGAAAACAAUCUGGUCAUGUGAGCUGUCCUGGAUUACCAAAUUCAGCCUGCUCUGUGGCAGUCUUGGUAAUAUUUCACAAUUAUACUGAGAACAGCUGAAAACUCUUCAGUUAGGUUCUGAUAGCCAACAUUAGCUCUUUGAUAUAAACUACUGGAUUAAAAUUGUUUACACUACUUAGUGAGUACUUAGAACCGUGAAUUUUGGUGGAGUUGUUCCACAAAGAAUUUUUACGUAACCAGUGCUAUGAUUGAUUGCACCCUUCACUAAAGUCACAUGCAGUCAUCACGGUGUGCACAAGAAACAAGAGGAGAAAACAUCCCUCCAACACACAUCACACCUCCAAAGAGAGACAGACACCUGAAGGCUGUCAGCCACUGCACGGAGAUGAGGCAUCAUAGUUUCCUCUGGAAAUUGGGGCACACCAGCUGUAACUACUCACAGCCAUUCUGCAUCAGAGUAUGAAAAGAGAGUGGAUGCAUCAGUGCAGUGCUGGGGUUUUACAGCUAUGUGCAACAAAAUGUAUAAAACUUAUGAGUUUCAGAGCAGGUUUGUUUGUCUUCUCCUACCACGUAAGUCAUAUUGAGGGCUUUUUUCUACACAAGCAUACAAUCUUAGAGUACUAUUGCAAUUCUCUUAUUCCAUCAUACAGGUGAUGCACAGCACAGGACGGUCCAUAUAGCUGUGAAAAUCCUAACUCUGGUAUUUACUGACUUUCAUGCUUUUUUCAGACAACCCUGCAAUUAUAUUCAUGUCAUUUCUGCCAGUUAAAACUGUUGCUAACCUUCAUAAUUGUUAAGGGACUGCACAGUGCAAUUUAGCAUAGUUAGGGCAAUUAGAAAGUUAAGCACCAUGAGCCAACAGUCAGUAGCAGCAUUUUUUGCCAAGUAUAAGGAAACCUAAAGGCUCCAUCUAAUACAAGAUAGUUCUCAGGAUUUUGUUUGCAGGCCCAUGGGCCAGCCUCCUGCUUUGUCAGGCUGUAGCAGAUCUUCUGCCUUUUUGCCUGGUGAAUGUUGUUGAAGCAAGAGCAGGACCUGAGCCUGUUUCAAUUGCCCCAUUGGUAACCGCUUGGGAACUUGACCUCCAGGGUUGUAACUGGAGGUAGGCUUGAGAUCUCCCCAUUGGAAGAUACUUAACACAUUUCCCUUGCUUUUUACAUCCAUCUGAAAUGUAUUUAGCUAACUUCUGAGCUACCUUGCAUGUAAAACCUUGAACCACAAUUGUAAACUCUCCACUUUCCCUUAUUAGUACAAUAUUUGAUUUGGAUGACAUGUUUUUUAUAAUAUUUAUUUUCUGGCCCAUUUUGAGACUCUCGUGUUAAUGCCACAAGAACUUCACCCCUUGUAUAGUAUUUCAGACAUGGAGGGAAAAAAAAUGAAGUGAAAAAGUAAAAAUAAAAAGCAAAACCAACCGUCUGCAUUCACUUAAACUACAUUACAAUAAAGCUCAGUAAGAUCUGAUCAGUAGUUUUUUUAGCCUUCUCUGAUUCAAUAUGAAAGAAAUUAGUGGAAAACCUAAAGGCUGAAAGGAAAUUUUUGCCACUGUUCAAAACAGGAUGUGAAACUUUUAACAUAAUAUUUACAUAUAUUACGCUAAAUACUUUCUGCAGAGUUAAAAUUUAGCACUGCUAGCUUCAGACAGACUGGGAAAGACAUUUGCUUAUAUCUGAUAAACCAGAUUUUGAGAAGAAAAUGUUUUAUUCUUUUUGUUCUUCCUAUGUCUACGCUAGUGCUGGCAGAACAAUUGUGAUUUAGAAGUAUGUAAACAUGUUCAUUAAAG
ensembl:lncRNA